rnacentral:misc_RNA from 1 species
UCCUCUCUCAAACCCCGGGUUUGGUGUUGGGCCGGCGUUGGUGUCACAGCCAACUGGUCUCAAAGACAAUGACGGCGUCCGUGGGACCCUCUUCGCGACGAGCUUCUUCGGAGCAUGCGUAGAGUUUAAAGGACCUUCCGGGCCGGUCACCUCAUUUAUUUUUCUCA